rnacentral:lncRNA from 1 species
CUUGGAUCAUUUGAUGCUUAAUUUCUUGUUUUCGUCUUACUUGCUUAUUGUCAAUAAAAGUAAUUUUAUUUGUGCACAUAUAAUUUUGCUCUUAAUAUUGUCCAUUGGGACAUUUGGACCCCGAGUGACUUAUUGGAAGUCAUUCAUAAAGAAUUACCACAUUAAAAUCUUAUUUAGAGUGAAUAAAACAUUGUAAUACUUGGAAGGAAAUGUUUACUAAGUGGAGACAUAAUCGCCAUGAUUCAUGUGUUUUAUCUUUCUAAUUAAGAAUAAAUUUUGAGCAGUUUGUAAUUGGUGGCCAUAUUCAGUUUUUGAAUUUCUCAACCCAUACAGUCUUUUAGAUGUGCCAUGAGAGCCAAGUGGGAGAAUGUAAGCAUACGUCUCCAUGUAGGAGACUUAAGAUGGCCCACAUGCCACAUCUAGUUUUUAAAUUAUUAUAAUUAUGUAAUAUAUUAUUUUAUUCAAAAAAUCAUAUCUGGGAGUUGAGAUUUUAAUGUAACUGCUUGUAACCACUCAAUCAGAUCAUGUUAACGUUGAGGGCUAGUUAACGUUGAGUGGGUAUCUCCACUUCCUUGAUGGAAGGAAAGUGGGUGAGAUAUUCAUGUGGAUAUGGGUUUUGGCCUAUCUAUAAAAUUGCCUGUGAUUAUCCAUCAGGUCACAUACUUAUGGGAAAUAGACUAGGCUGAAAACUCUAUCCUUUACUCUCCAUAUAGACAGUGAGGGUUGUGAGGUUUGCUGGGAUUUUAUCCAACUAAUCUCUUGGUUCUCUAAUCGGCUUAAACAACUAUGGCUGGAGGUUAGUCCGUAUUAUAUGUGAUUAUCUUUUCUUCCGUAUGUAGUGUUAUUAUUUCUCCCAAAUUUCUUUCAUCCACAUCUUGGGCAACAGCAAGUCAGAGCUAGUUACAUGACAAUAAAAUGCCUAAAUCCUUAAACCAAGAAUUUAAUUGAACUAACAAUUAUAUAGAAAAGUUCCAUAAGAGAAUUUGUUUUUCAUUAGGAUAAAAUUCUUGUUAGAUGGAAAAGCUUUCUUGAAUUAUAAAAUUAUGUCUUUGGUUGCCAACCAGCUACCCCAGAAAACCAACAUCUUGUCUCCACAAUCAUGAGUUUCAGUUUCUCCAGUGAUGUGAAACUUUCUGCUUUACUCAUCAAAAUUAUGUUAUAGUUUCCAAGUCAGAGAAGUCUGAUCAGAAAAUAUAUUGUUUUUAACAUCAUCUUCCUCUCAGAAAGACAC